rnacentral:misc_RNA from 1 species
UUUCCGUAGGUGAACCUGCGGAAGGAUCAUUAAAAAAUUGGACUCCAUUGGUGAGUUCAUUAAUAAUCCCUACCCUUUGUGAAUUUGUUUGUUUGAAUAAUUUUUUUUCCAAAAAAAAUUAUUGAAUGUCUUUCCUUGUUUUUGGUGGAGCUUGUAAAGUGAAACCAGGCAGGGGAAUGGCAAACAAUAAUUAUUUUUGAAAAAGACCUUUUUUUAAAAUUAAACUUUUUGUAUUCAUUUGUCUAAAAUUAAUUUUUAUAAUAUAAAAACAACUUUUGACAAUGGAUCUCUUGGUUCUCGCAACGAUGAAGAACGCAGCAAAAUGCGAUAAGUAGUGUGAAUUGCAGAAUACGUGAAUCAUCGAAUCUUCGAACGCAUAUUGCACUUUUUAGUUUACUAAAAAAGUAUGUCUGUUUGAGUAUCAGUAAAAUAUUCUCAUAAAAACAUUGUUUUUUUUAUGGUUAUGAGUGUUUUACAACGAUAACAAGUUGUUUCACUUUAAAUUCUUUGUUAUCAAAAAAAUCAUUAAAAGCUAAUUUUAAAGAUUUUUUAAAAUUGGAUAAAAUUUUCCCGUAAAAAGGAAUAACCUAAACAAUUUUAAAAAAUUAAAAUUGGUUUGAUUUUUUUUGAAACCCAAAGGAAAAAAAAACGAAAUUAACUUGAUCUCAAAUCAGAUAAGAGUACCCGCUGAACUUAAGCAUAUCAAUAAGCGGAGGAAAAGAAACUAACUAGGAUUCCCUCAGUAACGGCGAGUGAAGCGGGAAGAGCUCAAAUUUGAAAUCUUCAAGGUUUUGCCUUGACGAAUUGUAGUUUAAAGAAGUGUUUUCUGUUGGAGUUUUGGUAAAAGUUCUUUGGAAAAGGACAUCAUAGAGGGUGAGAAUCCCGUAUUUGACCAUUAUCUCCAGCUUUGUGAUACACUUUCAAAGAGUCGGAUUGUUUGGGAAUGCAGUCCAAAAUGGGUGGUAAAUUUCAUCUAAAGCUAAAUACUGGCGAGAGACCGAUAGCGAACAAGUACCGUGAGGGAAAGAUGAAAAGAACUUUGAAAAGAGAGUUAAACAGUACGUGAAAUUGUCAAAAGGGAAGCGUUUGACACCAGUGUUGUUUUCUCGAAAAUCAAUUAAAAAAGGCCGGAUUUUGUGUUGUAUUGACUUUAUCAGCUUUCCGCACUCUUUUCUUGUCUUUUUUAAUGCACUUUUCGUUUAACAAGUCAACAUCAAUUUCUUUUGUUGUAAAAGGGUCAUUGGAAGGUGGCUUUCUUUUCGGAGAAAGUGUUUAUAGCCUUUGGCCUCUGCAAUCGGAGAGAUUGAGGUCUGCAGCGUAGAUCCUUCGGGGUUAGAUACAUUUGUGCUAAGUUAUAGCCUUUCAUAGACAACUUGUUGACUAUGAUCAGUCAUGUAGCUUACUCGCUUAUGCUAUUUUACCUACGCUUAGGAUGUUG